AGCGAACGCUGGCGGCAGGCUUAACACAUGCAAGUCGAGCGGGCCCUUCGGGGUCAGCGGCCGACGGGUGAGUAACACGUGGGAACGUACCCUUUGGUUCGGAAUAACGCUGGGAAACUAGCGCUAAUACCGGAUACGCCCUUUUGGGGAAAGGCUUGCUGCCGAAGGAUCGGCCCGCGUCUGAUUAGCUAGUUGGUGGGGUAAUGGCCUACCAAGGCGACGAUCAGUAGCUGGUCUGAGAGGAUGAUCAGCCACACUGGGACUGAGACACGGCCCAGACUCCUACGGGAGGCAGCAGUGGGGAAUAUGGGACAAUGGGCGCAAGCCUGAUCCAGCCAGGCCGCGUGAGUGAUGAAGGCCUUAGGGUUGUAAAGCUCUUUUGUCCGGGACGAUAAGGACGGUACCGGAAGAAUAAACCCCGGCGAACUUCGU
rnacentral:rRNA from 1 species